GAUGAACGCUGGCGGCGUGCCUAAUACAUGCAAGUCGAGCGAACGGACGAGAAGCUUGCUUCUCUGAUGUUAGCGGCGGACGGGUGAGUAACACGUGGAUAACCUACCUAUAAGACUGGGAUAACUUCGGGAAACCGGAGCUAAUACCGAAUAAUAUUUUGAACCGCAUGGUUCAAAGGUGAAAGACGGUCUUGCUGUCACUUAUAGAUGGAUCCGCGCUGCAUUAGCUAGUUGGUAAGGUAACGGCUUACCAAGGCAACGAUGCAUAGCCGACCUGAGAGGGUGAUCGGCCACACUGGAACUGAGACACGGUCCAGACUCCUAAGGGAGGCAGCAGUAGGGAAUCUUCCGCAAUGGGCGAAAGCCUGACGGAGCAACGCCGCGUGAGUGAUGAAGGUCUUCGGAUCGUAAAACUCUGUUAUUAGGGAAGAACAUAUGUGUAAGUAACUGUGCACAUCUUGACGGUACCUAAUCAGAAAGCCACGGCUAACUACGUG
rnacentral:rRNA from 1 species